UACGUAGGGUGCGAGCGUUUGUCCGGAAUUAUUGGGCGUAAAGAGCUCGUAGGCGGUCUGUCGCGUCGGUCGUGAAAACUUGGGGCUUAACCCUGAGCUUGCGGUCGAUACGGGCAUGACUGGAGUUCGGCAGGGGAGACUGGAAUUCCUGGUGUAGCGGUGAAAUGCGCAGAUAUCAGGAGGAACACCGGUGGCGAAGGCGGUUCUCUGGGCAUUACCUGACGCUGAGGAGCGAAAAGUGUGGGGGAGCGAACAGG
rnacentral:rRNA from 1 species